UACGUAGGGGGCAAGCGUUGUCCGGAGUUACUGGGCGUAAAGGGCGUGCAGGCGGUUUGGCAAGUUUGGAGUGACAGUGCCUGGCUUAACCAGGCAAGGCCUUCCAAAACUGUUGGACUUGAGGACCAGAGAGGGACAUAGAAUUCCGGGUGGAGUGGUGAAAUGCGUAGAUAUCCGGAGGAACACCAGAGGCGAAAGCGGCGACCUGGACAGGCACUGACACUCAACUACGAAAGCGUGGGGAGCAAACAGG
rnacentral:rRNA from 1 species